CCUACGGGUGGCAGCAGUGAGGAAUAUUGGUCAAUGGACGAGAGUCUGAACCAGCCAAGUCGCGUGAAGGAUGACUGCCCUAUGGGUUGUAAACUUCUUUUAUAUGGGAAUAAAAUGUUCCACGUGUGGGAUUUUGUAUGUACCAUAUGAAUAAGGAUCGGCUAACUCCGUGCCAGCAGCCGCGGUAAUACGGAGGAUCCGAGCGUUAUCCGGAUUUAUUGGGUUUAAAGGGAGCGUAGGUGGAUUGUUAAGUCAGUUGUGAAAGUUUGCGGCUCAACCGUAAAAUUGCAGUUGAAACUGGCAGUCUUGAGAACAGUAGAGGUGGGCGGAAUUCGUGGUGUAGCGGUGAAAUGCUUAGAUAUAACGAAGAACUCCGAUUGCGAAGGCAGUUCACUGGACUGCAACUGACACUGAGGCUCGAAAGUGUGGGUAUCAAACAGGAUUAGAUACCCGAGUAGUC
rnacentral:rRNA from 1 species